rnacentral:lncRNA from 1 species
AUGGACUCGUGGGCCAUGUUCAGUCCCCAUACUUGCCAAGCAGUUCUAACACUGGAAUCUUGAAGUUCAGAUAUUACAGAAAUAUCAGAUCCAAACAUAAGAGCAUACCUGAGCAAGGUUGUAAAGAUUUUCUUGAUCGUCCUCAUUGAACAUGGUCCUCUCAAGGGACUUCUUUCUCCGAGAUUCGGCACCAAGCAUACCUCCAAAGACAAAUCCAAGUUUGUGGCCCCACCAAUCAGCUGGAAGAUCUUGAGUUUUUUCUGCCAAGUGAUACAUAAGAGAUCAUAACAUGAGGUCUGGGAAUUUAGUAGUAGGUCUAUACAGGAUGAGAUAUGCACUAGAUAUAAUUCUUCACCAAACAACAAUAAAAGGUUGACAACCAGUCGCUUUCUUACUAGUGAUAUGCUUCCUGCCUUCAUUAUUUAAGUGAAAACAUUGUUAAUAAGGUAAUUCCAAUUUCAAAAACUACAAGCAAUACAAGUUUUAACUAAGCCAACAUAAUAACAAGUAACAUCAUCCCCAAGUUUAAUUAAUUUCUCUGACUUCCAGCUCAAGAUGAGUUAAACUAUCUGCAACUUAAGCUUGGUAAGGCCAGUGUUGUAAAAGGCGUCGGCAAGGCGCGCCUCAGGCUGAGGCGUGGACAAAGCGCCCCAAGGCUUAAGCCUUAUAUGCAUAAAUUGAGGCUUAAGCCUUUUGAUUGUGAGGCGCACGCCUUGGGCGCGCCUUAAGCCUUGAUUGAUGAAAGGCGCGCCUCUGAAUCUGUGGCAAAAUUAGGUUUUUUUGGGUUAAAGUGUCUGAAUUUUGCUAAGCCCAUAUCAAUUAAAGAAAAGCCCAACCCUAAUUGAUGUUCAAAUUAAAAAACCCAACCCUAAUUGUACUUAAAAUUGAAAAAUAGACAGCAAAAAAUUUAAAAAACUCCAGCGCCGUUCUCUGUUCCUCUCUGCUCUCUUCUUCUCCUCACUCCUCAUAUGUUCACACUUCACAUUGUAAUUUAGGUAAAGGCCGUAUGAAUUUGCUUGACGAGGAGGAGGAUGAAUGGGAGGAUUAGGACGAUGAGGAGGAGCAAGAAUGGGAGGAUGAUGGCAAUGAUGAGUAGAUCACUAUGAUACUCAAGUAUUUGGGACUUUAAGUGGGGUUAGGCUUAAGACUUAAGAAUUAAGACGUCUAUGGUGCUUGAAUUUGAAUAUUUUUAUGACUUCAUUGUGAUGUUUUUAUGAUUUCUAAGUUACUAUGUUAAUGUUUGGUUAAUUAUCUAUUGUUUCAUUUGCUUUAUUUUGAUUUUAUAAUGUUUUUGAAUUUUUAUUUAUUUUAAGUCCGAGGCUUACGCCUCGGACGCUUACGCCUUGCCUUUUAGAGACAAAACGCCUCAGUUACGCCUCUGUUUUUAACAACCUUGGGUAAGGCUGAUAAACUGAACAUUAGAAGAGAAUGAUGCUACGCUGCCAAUAUACUUCAUCAAUAUGUAAUGCAAGUUUGAUUUACUAUAUGUUCUCUACAGACAAGAAAGAAAAUAUGCAUUUAGUCAAAGUCGAUUCAGAAAGUUAAUGGGAAAUACCAGACUAUACAGGGUAUUUCACAAUCACGUACUUUUCAGCACCACAGUCGGGGACUUAAAUAAUAAAAACAAGUAUCUGGAAAGUACUGCUAUACAAAACCCAUACAACAAUAUAAGAACAUCGUAAAGUGCCUUUGAAGAUAUUAACCAGUAACAACAGUAAGCACCAUGAUGUUUCCAGA